rnacentral:misc_RNA from 1 species
CCUAGUUCCAUACCACUCAAAAAAAGACAACAGGUUACAUCACAGCAGCACCUAGAUUAGGCUGUAACACUGACUGAAGCUAAAAUUAAAUGAAUUCAACGCUCGUGUCUCCAUUCUUUCUCUGCACUUAUAUAUCUGAAUAUCUAACCAGUAUGUUUUAUAGGUAAAUGCCAAAACCUUGGUCUCAUAGGCCAUAGCAUGGGCAGCGUUGGAUGACCCCAG